GACGAACGCUGGCGGCAGGCUUAACACAUGCAAGUCGAACGGUUGUAGCAAUACAGCAGUGGCGCACGGGUGAGUAACGCGUGGGAAUAUACCGAGAAGUGGGGAAUAACUCCGGGAAACUGGAGAUAAUACCGCAUACGCCCGAGAGGGGAAAGAUUUAUCGCUUUUCGAUUAGCCCGCGUGAGAUUAGGUAGUUGGUGGGGUAAUGGCCUACCAAGCCGACGAUCUCUAGCUGGUCUGAGAGGAUGAUCAGCCACACUGGAACUGAGACACGGUCCAGACUCCUACGGGAGGCAGCAGUGGGGAAUAUUGGACAAUGGGCGAAAGCCUGAUCCAGCCAUGCCGCGUGAAUGAUGAAGGCCUUAGGGUUGUAAAGUUCUUUCGCCGAUGAAGAUAAUGACGGUAGUCGGAGAAGAAGCCCCGGCUAACUUCGUGCCAGCCGCCGCAGUAA
rnacentral:rRNA from 1 species